rnacentral:tmRNA from 1 species
GGGGCCGAUGUGGUUUCGACCGAACGAGUUUCAGGUUCGGUGUGGCGCGUCGAGGGGCGUGGUGGCCUCGUUAAAACCACGCAACACAAUUAUCUGCCAACGAGCAGUACCUCAUGGCUGCCUGAGAACCAGGCAGUCUGAACCCCGCUGGACGCCUGCUACGGCGGGGUUCAACGACAGCAGGCUGGCCGACUCCUGGUGCUCCCAGGGGUGAAGCGGCGAGAAUUUGACUGGGAGCUGGACCCGAAGCAGGCUGUCGAUGGCCGGCGCAGGGUCGAGAAUAAAUUAUCGACUACACGCGUAGAUGCACCGUUCCGGCCGUUUCGGCACGGGGGUUCGAUUCCCCCCGGCUCCAUUU